rnacentral:tRNA from 1 species
GCCGAAGUGGCGGAAUUGGUAGACGCGCUGGACUCAAAAUCCAGUGUCCUUCGGGACGUGUGGGUUCGAGUCCCACCUUCGGUACCA